rnacentral:rRNA from 1 species
AGUUCGGAUUGUAGUCUGCAACUCGACUACAUGAAGCUGGAAUCGCUAGUAAUCGCAGAUCAGAAUGCUGCGGUGAAUACGUUCCCGGGUCUUGUACACACCGCCCGUCACACCAUGGGAGUCGGAAAUGCCCGAAGCCGGUGACCCAACCAAAAGGAGGGAGCCGUCGAAGGCAGGUCUGAUAACUGGGGUGAAGUCGUAACAAGGUAGC